AAUUCUUGGCAUGGUGACACGGCGGCUGCCGCCACCGGCUAUGGCGGCAUGAGCCUGCCGCCCGACAGCUCUGCAGGGCGCUGAUUCCCACGCUUAACUUUGCUGAUUCCCACGCUUAACUUCGCUGAUUUUCAGGCCGACGCGACCUGUCGGUUGGUGGCAUGCGCCGCGCGGGAGGUCUUUAUAUCGGCUGAUUCUUGCGCUCUCUCUGCACACUCUCGCCGACAGCUCUCUUUCACUCUCUCUCGCGCUGCCUUCUUUCUCUCGUCUCUGCUAUAGUGCCAUUCACCAAGAACACAGAGGAAGAACAUCAAGGUGGACUAUGUUGACACAGUAAUGGUGAUUCGUUGGUGCCGAUGGGUAUUAUUUGGAAAUAUCGUGACACGUAAAUUACUUUUGAAGGACAUCCAUCUUGAAGUUGAGGUGGACUCUCUUGAUGGUAAUGGUGAUACGUUGAUGUUGAUUGGUACUUUUUGGAAAUAUCGUGGCCCGUAAAUUAAUUUUGGAAGAACAAGUUAAGUAGGUUGACUCUCUUGACGGUAAGUUGAUGCUAGGGUAUUAUUUGGAGAUAUCACGACGCAUAAAUUAUUUUUGGAAGGGCACCCAUCAUCAAGUUGAGGUUUUUUGGAAGCCGAAGAUGCAUCCGAGCGAAGUUUGGUCCUGGGAUGCGAGGAAAGAAGAUGACUGUUAAGGUCCUUAUCUGUGUAGGAUGGAAUGAUGGGACAAUUCCUCGUUGGGGUCUAUAGGAGGUUAUUAAAGGUGAUAAGUGGUAGACAAAGAGCAUGACGUUUCCAAGCACACCUAGUGUUUCUUUGUAUGGAGAGCUGAUGGUGUAUGUGCAGUUUAUAUUCCGGCAGUGGUGAUGUUAGAUGCGGUAGCGGCACUGCUUAGGUCGAGUUAGCCAUCACUGAAGUCCCUAACGAUGACCCAUUAGAGCCGAUGGGCGGCCACCAUGUGUCCGACCUAGGAUAUUGUUCUGCGGUUGUUGACAUCAAUGAACAUGUGGAGGGAAUGCCGUAGGCGCUAGAUUAUGACGAUGAUGGUCACUCUUCUUUGUCAUCAUCCUCAGACGAAUAAGGUGUUGGCCCCUCUCAGAGGGAGGUUGCGGCACCGAUGGACCCUGAGUUCUAUGACCGUCACCAAUGAUUUUUUCUUUGUUUCGAGCCUAGCAGAGACAAGUCUGUAGGUUGGGCAGAGUUUCAUAGACAAAUACUCCGCUGACCAGGAAAUAAAGAGGCAUGAAUUAGCCAUUUUCUCCAUCAUAGAAUGAAAUAGUCAGACUGAACUCAAUUGAAGUCAUAUGCAUCCGUUUGAAUAAGGUUGCAAGGGAGAGUGGUCGCUCGCAAGAACCCUAGGGUAUGCCACCGCUAAACAUGUGUCACAUGGCAUGUCAGCGGUGGUGGAAAACAUCAACAUUGGUGUUAAGGUUCUGCGAAAAAUCUACCUAAGAUCUAAUUGGCUUCAAAGUCGGCUACAACAAGGCUAGAAGUGACAAUAAGAAAAUUUUCCAGAGAUUGUAUGGCAUCUAUGAGCAGUCUUAUGCUUGUGCCCCCAGAAUGCUUCAUAAUAUAGCGGUAGGUAACAAGGCACUCGGGUGCUCAUGAAAGCUUCCGCACCUAAGUGAGGAAAACAAAAUUAUCUUUUACCAUUUAUUACGGGGAUUUGCACCAACUAUAGAGGCAUUCCAGUAUUAUCAUCCAAAACUAUCAAUUGAUGGUAUCUUUCUCACUUGAAUGUACAAGGGCACACUGCUAGUGGCGAUCCCAGCAUACGGAAAUAAUCAAUUACUUAUAUUGCCCAUGCAGUGGUCGAGGGUGAUAACAAAGAUGGUUGGUUCUGGUUUUUUAGCUGCUUAAACCUUGGAGUCGUGAAAAUCGUCCCAGUGUUUGCUUCAUCUCUAGUCGCAAUAUAGUAUUAUUGAGCGCACUCGACAGAAUCAAGCAAUCAACGAACCCUGACUGGGGUUGGCUGAUCUAGAGACAAGGUGGUGAAUGAGGCAUUUGGCCAAAAAAAAUUACAAAAAAGUCAAGAAUAAAGAUUUGUUCAAGCUAUUCAAUAGGAUGUACAUGUAGAACAUUGAUGCGAAGAUCAAUGCAAUUUUGGCAGGAAUCAAUGGAUAAAUCGAGUGAUGUUGGCUUGCCAACGAAAGAAGACAGGAGGAAUCGUAGGAUGGCUAUAAAUUUUCCUAGUGGAUAAUAGAGAACUUCCCUCAUUUAUAUAAGUGGGCACCAUCACAUAACGCCAGGCACGCUAUGACAUAAUGACCAGCAACAUAGAUAUGUACAAUGUCAUGCUUAAAGGUCUGUAAGCCCUCUCUCACACAUCCUUGAUUAAUGAAACUUAGAACCGGAGUCUGGCAUACUUUGUAGAUAUAGUACAGGUGGCCAAUGCACAAUUUACAAUGAACAAGUCAUAGUCUGAAAAGAUGUAUCGACAUCAGGACGAGAAAGCAACGAAAUUCCAAAGUCAUGGUUGUAAAACGAGCUAAUUUUUUGAAAUCCCACCACAGAGGAGCAAGUAAGCGGGUUGUCACCUUCGGUCCCGCUACGUAUGAGUGCACUUGUUACAAGCGAGAGCUUCUGCGAUAUCCGUGUAGUCAUUACCUCAAGGCGGCUGCGGAUCAUAGCAUCAGCGUUGAGAACUAUACAUCUUCUUACUUCAACACGUACAAUACAUUCAACACCUAGAGCGGUGAGUUGUCGACAUGGGAAAAUGAUCAACUCUAUAUGUACCUCUGGCCGGAAAAAUAACCCAAUGGGUUUUCGGCCCGACGUUUAUGAGAACCGCAAAGGGAAAAUAUUCAUCUUGGUAUCAUAGAAACGACAUAGAUCAUAGCCAGUCAGGAGAACCAAGCUAGUGUCGAAUCUGCACGUGCCCAUUCACUCGUGAAGAGAAUGUCGGCAUUGUAGCAAAAAACCCUACAUGAUGUACUUUUUACUCGAGAUGUACCCUAAUAAAUUUUUACUCGUGAUGAUUAUGUUUAUCUGUACCGUGGGGUGUACAAUAAUAUGUUUGUAUUCGUGAUGAUUAGUUUUAUGUUUUCACUGUAUGUGUCGUAAUACAUUUGUACUAGUGAUAUAUUAUAAUAAAUUGUUCUCGUGAUGCCAUGUUUUAUUUGUGUUGUAAUAAAAUGUCUAGUUGUACAAAUAUUGUAGUGAACUUACUGUAGUAAUCUAUGAUUAUGUGUGUACGGGUUACAGU